GUGUGUGUGUGCAGUGGAUGCAGUGUGUGUCUUUGUGUAGUGUGUGUGUAGUGGAUGCAGUGUGUUAAUUCCUGCUUGGUUCACUGCUGCCCACCUUUAGUUUAUUUAGUGAGCGCCUAACUCCUCUUUGUUGUGUCUUUGUGUAGUGUGUGUGUGUAGUGGAUGCAGUGUGUGUUUGUGUAGUGUGUGGGUUGUGGAUGCAGUGUGUGUUUGUGUAGUGUGUGUGGAGGAUGCAAUGUGUGUUUGUGUAGUGGAUGCAGUGUGUAUUUGUUUAGUGUGUGUAGUGGAUGCAGUGUGUAUUUGUUUAGUGUGUGUAGUGGAUGCAGUUUGUAUUUGUUUAGUGUGUGUAGUGGAUGCAGUGUGUAUUAGUGUAGUGUGUAUAUAAUGAAAGCAGAGUGUUUGUGUAGUGUGUGGGUAGUGUGCGUAAAGUGAAUGCUGUAUAUACUAAAUGCAAAGUGUGUGUGUAUAUAAUGAAUGCAGAGUGUGUGUGUGUAUUUGUGUAGUGUGUGUAUAGUGAAUAUAGUGUGUGUAUAUA